rnacentral:rRNA from 1 species
ACGGGAGGCAGCAGUGGGGGAUAUUGCACAAUGGGGGAAACCCUGAUGCAGCGACGCCGCGUGAGUGAUGAAGUAUUUCGGUAUGUAAAGCUCUAUCAGCAGGGAAGAAAAUGACGGUACCUGACUAAGAAGCUCCGGCUAAAUACGUGCCAGCAGCCGCGGUAAUAAGUAUGGAGCAAGCGUUAUCCGGAUUUACUGGGUGUAAAGGGAGCGUAGACGGUGACGCAAGUCUGAAGUGAAAGGUGUGGGCUCAACCCGCAAACUGCUUUGGAAACUGUGUGACUAGAGUGUCGGAGAGGUAAGUGGAAUUCCUAGUGUAGCGGUGAAAUGCGUAGAUAUUAGGAGGAACACCAGUGGCGAAGGCGGCUUACUGGACGAUAACUGACGUUGAGGCUCGAAAGCGUGGGGAGCAAACAGGAUUAGAUACCCUGGUA